AUCUACAGCCAUACCACCCUGAACGUGCCUGAUCUCAACUGAUCUCAGAAGCUAAGCAAGGUCGGGCCUGGUUUAUACUUAGAUGGGAGGUCAUAGCCA
ensembl:rRNA 5S_rRNA 5S ribosomal RNA